rnacentral:rRNA from 1 species
AACGAACGCUGGCGGCAUGCCUAACACAUGCAAGUCGAACGAGACCUUCGGGUCUAGUGGCGCACGGGUGCGUAACGCGUGGGAACCUGCCCUUAGGUUCGGAAUAACUCCCCGAAAGGGGUGCUAAUACCGGAUAAUGUCUUCGGACCAAAGAUUUAUCGCCUUUUGAUGGGCCCGCGUUGGAUUAGCUAGUUGGUAGGGUAAAAGCCUACCAAGGCGACGAUCCAUAGCUGGUCUGAGAGGAUGAUCAGCCACACUGGGACUGAGACACGGCCCAGACUCCUACGGGAGGCAGCAGUGGGGAAUAUUGGACAAUGGGCGAAAGCCUGAUCCAGCAAUGCCGCGUGAGUGAUGAAGGCCUUAGGGUUGUAAAGCUCUUUUACCCGGGAUGAUAAUGACAGUACCGGGAGAAUAAGCUCCGGCUAACCCCGUG